rnacentral:rRNA from 1 species
UACGGGGGGGGCAAGCGUUGUUCGGAAUUACUGGGCGUAAAGGGCUCGUAGGUGGCCAACUAAGUCAGACGUGAAAUCCCCAGGCUCAACUUGGGAACUGCGUCUGAUACUGGAUGGCUUGAAUUCGGGAGAGGGAUGCAGAAUUCCAGGUGUAGCGGUGAAAUGCGUAGAGAUCCGGAGGAACACCAGAGGCGAAGGCGGCCUACUGGGCUGCACCUGACGCUGAGCCGCGAAAGCCAGGGGAGCGAACGGG